GCCCGCGUAGGUUAGUCCGGACAGACUAUCGGGCUUCGGACCCGAAGACCCCGGUUCGAAUCCGGGCGCGGGCG
rnacentral:tRNA from 1 species